AACCCAUGACAGGAAGGACCUGCCCUCAAGAUGACAACUGCAUAUCUGAUGUUACAGGACAGACAUUUGUCAGACUGGCCCAAGAGAACAGCUACGAACAUUGCCUGGACUCACCAUGAUCGCCAUGCUCACAGUGCUGCUAUACCUUGGUCUUAUUCUGGAACCCAGGACUGCAGUACAGGCAGGACACCUCCCAAAGCCCAUCAUCUGGGCUGAGCCAGGCUCUGUGAUCGCUGCGUAUACAUCUGUGAUUACCUGGUGUCAGGGUUCCUGGGAGGCCCAGUAUUAUCAUCUGUAUAAAGAGAAAAGUGUAAAUCCUUGGGACACUCAAGUCCCUCUGGAAACCAGGAAUAAGGCCAAGUUCAACAUUCCAAGCAUGACAACCUCAUAUGCAGGCAUAUAUAAGUGUUACUAUGAGAGUGCUGCUGGCUUCUCAGAGCACAGUGAUGCCAUGGAGCUGGUGAUGACAGGAGCAUAUGAAAAUCCCAGCCUGUCAGUCUAUCCCAGCUCUAAUGUGACCUCUGGAGUUUCCAUAUCCUUUAGUUGCAGCUCAUCCAUAGUAUUUGGCAGAUUCAUUCUGAUCCAGGAAGGAAAGCAUGGCCUCUCUUGGACCCUGGACUCACAGCAUCAGGCCAAUCAGCCAUCCUAUGCUACUUUUGUUCUGGAUGCUGUUACUCCCAACCACAAUGGAACAUUCAGAUGCUAUGGCUACUUUAGAAAUGAACCACAGGUGUGGUCAAAACCAAGUAACUCCCUAGACCUCAUGAUCUCAGAAUCAUGUACCCAGGCUCAUGUUAAUAACUGGACACUGGAGACUUUUAGUACAUGUGUUGCCCAGACUCAGUGUGGCAGUUCUGAGUCCCUCAUAGUCUCUCUCCUUUCCAAAUGUUCAAUGAUAUACUUUGUAUAGGAUUUUUGGGAUGAGCUGUGAUCUUCACAGAGAUCCAAGAACUCGGAGUCACAAAACCUUGUCUGCAACAGGGUCAUAUCCUUUUGAAAUUAGUGUCCAGAUUGAGAUAGAAAGAAACAGGACAUAGUAAAGUGUUGUGAACUCUAAUGUUCAUCUCUCCAUCAACCUCUGGCAGAAACCAAGGACCAGUCCUCUACACCCACUGAAGAUGGUAAGUGAGGGCUCUUCUAGCAGGUGGGUAUAACAAUAUUUGAGAUCAUUAUGAAUUGGUGAAUCCUUCUCUGAAGUUGAGAGAGUAGGAGAUCUGGACUUAUUUGCGACUUAGAUGCUAUGUUUCUUACAUUGCUUAGGGCUCAGGAUCUCUCUCUACCUAAAGUUCAGGUCCUCCUUUACAAGAUGUUCUGAUGGCUUGGGUUCCUGAAAUUUCUGAUAAACUUUCUUCCUAGGCUCCAUCUCCCUGAACAAAUUUUGUUGAAUAAUAAUGGUAGAUAAAGGUGUUCUUUUGAUAUUUAGACAGGAAGAAAACAUUUAUUUCUGAGUCUUUUUCUUGAUGUCUGCUAGUGUAAAGGAACAGGUUUACCAAUACCUUCACUUUACUUCCAGUGCUGUCCUUGGCUGUGAUAUCCUAGGUGAGGAAGGAGGCCCAUCUGUUGAGUUCCAGUUCUGAAAUGGCCAUAUCUCCUUUGCCACAAGGAUAGUGACACAAGAUGCAGAGUAUACUGCUGCAGACUCAGAGCCAAUGCUAGACAGUCACCUACUUUCAUGCUCAAAUAGCUUACAAACUGUAUGUAGUGAGGACAGGUCUGGAAGUCAAAUACUAAGUUCAAACUGGUUCAGAGGCAACUAAGUUCAGCAUCUCAUCUGGUUUUUUAUAUUCAUUCUAAAUGACCUGGGCCAAAUGAACUUGUCUUUGUGAGCCUUAAUAUUCUCACCUAUAACUGACUGGGUAAACCAUAUAAUUACACACUGAAUGAUUGUGACAUUGGAGGCCAUGAAUGAGCUAAGCAUAAAAUAGGUGAUAGGUAAACAAUAUCUUUCUGUCAUGCCUGAUGUCAACUGUUCCUAAGGACUGGAAACAUACCAGAAGAUUUUGAUUGGAGUCCUGGUGUCAUUCCUCCUGCUUUUCUUCCUCCUGCUUUUUCUCAUCCUCAUCGGAUACCAGUAUGGGCACAAAAAGAAGGCUAAUGCUUCUGUGAAGAACACACAAUCUGAGAACAAUGCAGAGCUGAACAGUUGGAACCCACAAAAUGAAGACCCCCAGGGAAUUGUCUACGCCCAGGUAAAACCCUCCAGGCUUCAGAAGGACACUGCAUGCAAAGAGACCCAGGAUGUAACCUAUGCCCAGUUGUGCAUCAGGACACAGGAACAGAACAACAGCUGAAACCAGCAAGCAGCCAACACAGAAAGAAGACCCAGACCCCACAUUCCAUGAAUGAAAACUAGGGAUUUUCUGGUAUUUGAUCCCAGUGGACUCUAUUUAAUUAAUUCAGGCCAUCAUGAAUACCUCAUGUGUUAUCAGAAGCUUCUCAGAAUUUUGGGAAUAUACUUUAUUCUUUGUUCAGAGAUAACAAAUGUCAUUACAUUUUGUAAAUAAAGCCAAAUCCUCCUCAA